AGGUAGCAUUUCUCAAUCAUUUUUCUAACCAUGGGGCACAUUUUUCAUCAUCAGCUUUGUGUCUGCUCUUGGAAGUAUAGUAGUAAGCAAGACAUUUCCUGAAAUCAUUUUGUGAUCUUCCUCUGGCAAAAUGUUUAUUUGCCAGUGAAUUCAGUGGACGAGCAUGGAGAACAAUGAAUGUGCUGGUAUUACAUAUGUGCCAUGAAUUUCUUUCUUUCAGGGAUCAUGUCUUUGCUGCUGCUGCUGCUAAACUGCUUCAGUCAUGUC